UGGAUGUAAAGGUAUUGUAAUUUAAAAUGUAUCAAUAAAAUUAAGAGAAAAAAGAAUACGUAGAGAAAUAUUAGUGGGUGUCAGUUGUCUCCCCGCCUGUAUUUUUGUGUUAGUUCAGCUGCUUUGCUAGUUGCAAAGCCGUAUUAUCAGAGUAAAAGUGUACUUGUAAACUGCAUGGAACUAAAAAUUAGGAAUAAAGCCAUUUUCUUACAUUGAAAACAAUGAAGAAAAAACAGAUUUGGUUAGCACUGCUUUACUUGUAUAUAUAAAUUAUUAAUAUCUACAAUACAGUAUUGUAAGAAUUAAAUUAAUAUUUAGCUCACAGCUGUAUACCCCUAGGGCUUAACACCGUCCCUGCCACAGGGCAGGCACUCGAUAAAUUCUGCCGAAUGAAGCCCUAGCGUCCCUUGUCUCCUGAAAGCGAUGAGACCUGUGCGCCCGCCGACUUAAGGGCGUGAGGGCUGGAACCCGCCUGUCUUCACUGGAAAGGAGACUGGAAAUACAGGGAUAGGCGACAGGUGUCCCGUAAGCUAAUAUUUCGCUUAGUUUGUGGAGCUGAGUGCCCGCAGUGUGUUUUCCGGAUCUGUGUUCCCAGGUGGGCGAUUCGGACCCCAGCGGGGAGGUGCGCCAGUCAAGAGAUUGCACAGAAAUCCAGAACUCUCGUGGCAGGCGGCUCAGGACGCUGCCAAAGACAGGAACGCUGCUUAGCUUUUUGGGAAAUAGUUGCAGGACAUUCAAGUGGUACCCCCAUCGAUGUUUUAAUUAAUAAUAGAAAUUGCAGUGACAGAAUGAAAACCAUUUUAACUGAAGAAAAAACAACUAAAUAUUCACAGAUAUCUUCUAGCAGUUUGUUUUAAUUCACAGAUCAUAUUGGAACUUAAUCCAGUGCCAUUUCCAUCUUGUUCAACUGAGAAAAUGGUUCUUGUGGGAAUUCUUUUUACUGCUCACACCUGCCACGAGGUAUUAACAGAUUAGAGCAAAUCCUAAGAGGUGCUUUGUGUCAUCCAAGUGAACAAUGUUGGCCAAGCACCGUCUGUAUUCCGGAGGUCCUCUGUGGUCUGGAGUGGCAGUGGUACCUGCAGAGCUCUUCUCUGUUCCACAGAGCAGAUUGAAGGCAGGAGUUGGAUAUUUAGGUUGAUUCCAGUUCUCCACUACUGCAUAUAAGAUUCCAAGGAUAAAAUUUGACCUACUUUUCCUUGCACCUCCAAAAAACUUCAGCUGGUACACGGAUCCCCUGACUCAGGAUCUGGAGGUGCAGUUCAUGUAACUGAACCCAAUAGAGAUGGCUGCAUUAAAACAGCUUGUCAGUCGGCAAUGAGAAAUACAACUUCUAGGAAGAAGGUGCACGCCCGUCUGUCCAGCUGCCGUAUUGUGUCCUUGCAGGCACACAACUACCAAAGUGAAAACAAAGUUGCCGGCAAACAUCAGCGAAAAAUAAGCGCUCGCCUAGCACGGACAAGACUCCAUGCACUCUCUGCCACCUGCCUCACCCCGCCAAGGUGGGGGUUCGUGUUCAUCACAUCCAGGUAUUGCUAGAUACCUCUGGAGUAACCAAGUGACCCGAUGUCUCUCUAUCACCAUACUCAUUGAUGAACCCUGAUGGGGAAUGGCGGAGGAGCUCUGGAAUUAGAAAAUUCCAGGAGACGGUCACGAGAAUGCGUUCUUUUUUCCACAGAUGAAGCCUUCCAGACACCUCCAUUUGAAGGCGUCAUUGUUGGUGUCGGGCUCCGAUGAGGUUCACUUCGCCUCAUCUCCAUCUUGUAUUGCCAUCAGUGGCACUGACCACCUGAGCCAGAAAUGUGGAAGUAAAUUGUCCCCAACAUCUCUUUAUGCCUCACUCCAAACUCAAUUAAUCUCUGAACCUUGCCAGUCCUACUUUAUAAACACUUGCUAUUUUCUUCCCUCCUCUCUUUCCAUUGCUAUGGCUUGGGACAGAUCUUGCCCACGAGCUCCUUAGUGGUUUUUGGCUACCUGUCUUAAAAGCUACAGUCUCCGCCUCUCCCCCAGCCCUUGGGUAAUUGAGCUUUUUCCUUCAGCACUUCUGAGCUCUGCUCUGGUUUCCUGUGCAGCCAGUUUUCCUCUGGCCACAAUGAACAGAUUGCUGUUGCCAGAAUCUCCUGUUCAAAAGUAGCACACUCCCUUAGCCAAAAAUGCUCCCUUUGUUCUGUUUCUCUCUUAAUUCUUGUUCAUGCUUUAAGUUGGACUUGACUGUUGUCCCAGCAUCUUUUGCUGACAGCUUUCACCCUCGCUUCACUCGCUGAGAUCUUUCAGAUAGGCUCCCUCCCACAGCCCUGCCAAGACAGCUAGCAGAGGAUCCGGGCUCUGUCCUGUGAAUGUGGAUUAUUUUUCUCACUUCCUUACCAAGCUGCAAAUUCUUUGAGGGAAGAGAUUUGAGUCUUAUUUGAAUUUGUAUCACACUGCCUGCUUCCAGUUUGACACAUGCAGACUCCCAAGCAGCACCCACUGAGGGACACAUAAAUGAAUGGUUGCGGGGAGGAUGCAUUACGAACUAUAGUUCCUAAUUCUGUGGACACAUUUCCUUCUUGUGCAGUAAUCAGUGUUUGAUUUUAAACAAUUUUUACUCUUUUUUGUUAUAAAGUAAUACAUGCUCAUAAUUUAAGAGAAAGAAAUGAAAAAGAAAAAAAUAAGGUACAAAGAAAAGAGGAGAUACAUUCAAGCAAUACAGAGGAAACACAGUACAAAUCCUUCACUACCAUCCAUAGUCUCUCUCCCUGGAAAUAAGCACUACGUUAAUCAUUUUGUUUAUGUUCCCAAAUAGUUUCUCUGUAUAUACAGACAUGCAUACAAUGUCUUACACAAGCAAGUUUCAUACUACGCACAAUUCUCCGCAGCUGCUUGUUUUUACUGCUUCUGCUUAACCUUCAUCUCCGCGCACUGUGGCGAUCCUGCUAGAAUUCUCUGAACUCGCCAGCAUUUCUUUGCCAUCACAGAUUCAGCUGGAAAAACUGUCAGCCGUCUUCAUUUUCGCACACGUUCUCAGGCACAGAGAAGUCAGGGUACACUCAGAGGGACCCAGUAGGGCCCGGCUGGGAUGCCGUCUCGGGCACCUGUCCCGACCCCGUGCUUUUCCCACUCUCUCUGCAGCACCUGCACUGUAGCUGCAGAUUCUGUGGGCCUUAUCUCUCUGAGGACUGUGUGUUGUACAUCCAGCCUUAGGGAACAAAGCUCCAACUGCAGGCAACUCCUCGCAGCGUUUAACCCCUUCUGAAGUGGCUUUACUGUGCUCUUCAGGUGGGAGGCGUGGGGUAGACAUAGGGCGCAGGACAUAGUACCUACGAUCUGGCUUCCCCUGGCGUCUUCUACAGACUUCCGAAAUUCCGAGGAAGAGAGAGGAUCAGCCUGUCCCCUCACUUGCCUUGGGGACUGAGCGUCAUCUCCCCUACAGGAGCCCCGUGCUCUGGUAAUGUUCUUUCCAUUCACACCUGACUCACAAUAUUAAAGCAUUUGCUUCUGUGGGUGAUGGGGUGCGUGUUCAUCAAGGAAAACGUAAGUCCGACAGCUGCUUCCGUAUUUUCACAGCAAUAUGGGCUUCUCUUGAAGGCAACCUGGUUUUCACACUUGCUCCUCUUUCCCUCUCUGUUCCACUUUAGUUUAGAUGAAUCUGCCCCUUCUGGGAAAAUGAACACUCCUGACUUUUCCUUCAGCUUAUUUCUCUGACCCCUGUACUUAAUUGCUUGUGGCAUUUACAUACUAGUAUUUAGCAAAUUCAUUUGGCUGAGAUUUUCUUUAGUAUAGGAUAGAAUCCAGUUUAUUAGUUAUUUGAUUCAUUUGGAUUUCUGGAUUCCAAGUACGGUCGGACAUUUUAUGUUAUUAUUAUUUUUUUGGUACUGGGGAUUAAACUCAGGACCUUCCGAGGCAGGUAGUGGCACCACUGAGCUCCAUCCCCGGCCCUAUAUUAAUCUUUUAAAGAGAGCGUCUUAUACAUGGGUGAUCUCUGUUCAUCAGAUCACUGCUUUUUAUCAUAUCUUAGAUGUUUUCAUAUUUCUUCUUGCAAAUAAUUUUAAGGAUGUUUACUUGCCCAAAGAAUAGCACUGAAAAAAGCCAUGAUCCUAAGUACUGGGGGAGAAAGAGGACAUGGAGACUUCCCAUCUUACUGAGGUUUGUAACCUCCUAGGCUUCUCUUUGAACCAUAGGCUGCAUGUGUGUAGAAAUGUACACGUAUAGCCAUCAUGCAUGCUUUGUGGGGUAUCAGAUCAAAUCAUCCUCAGAAACAUGUUUCCUGUGAAGAACAGAAAAGAAAGCAAUUCCAAGGAAGUCCAGUUAAGACGAUUGCAAUACCGGACAUCUCUUUUUCAUGUUAGGUAUUUAUUGUGGAACUGUAGCUUUCUUAAAUUGAAAGACACUCCAAAUAUUUGUAAGCAAAACCUUCUGGAUCAAUUUCUUGCUUACUUAGAGUUGAAGAAUAAUGCAGAAUGUAAGCGAUGAAGCCGAAAGCAGUGAUUGCACAGUAGAAAAUAAAUGAUUCUGGAACUGACAAUGCCCUUCAACCCCGCGGGCGUCCACCUGCUGCAUCCCCUUCCCGCUUUUCCUGCCAUCUCCGUGAACGCCUGUCCAGGAGCCUGAAACUUCCAGUAGGGGGUGCUGUUGUCUAGUACAAGGCCUUUGUUCUCAGAAUUUGGUUAGCGCUUGAGAUCAUUUGUAAACGUUGCCCUUUCUCAAGAUUUAAUCUGUUUAAAUUGAUAUUGGUUAUUUGCUCUUAAGUUUACUGUGAAUUUAAUCGUAUGUUGCUGUUUAAUACACUAAAGUGCUAUUCUGGUGGCAGCCACUGCAGUGAUUAGCAUUUUUCCCAGAAUGUGUUCUGAAUACUAGUGAGUUUGUUCAAGAAAAGAGCGAUAAUUUUAUUGUUUUAAAAAUAAAAUAUUUGAUUACUUUGAAAAAAUGCAUGAAGUGAAUUUUGAUGAGUUGGUUGUGUAAUCAAGCUAAGAUUGUUGGAGGAACUGAACAUACAAGUCUCGCCUUGAAAAUUUUAUUUUUCAGCUGGUAGAGAUGCAUUAUAUUUGCA